GCUAUAAUUGUAAUGCAUGACUUUAAUGUUAAAGAUCGUUGUUUAACAUAUUGUACAUUUUGAUCCUCUUCCUUGGUGAAAUGUGUUUUCACUGGGACUAGUAAAACUUUUUUUUUUAUUGACUGCUCAGCAGAUAUAGAAAUUGCACAUCGACAAAGACAGGUUUGAGCGAGCUGUCAAUCACCAACUGUCACUGGCCAACACAAAACUGCACUUUUCACUGCACUUCCUGCUGUUCCAUGUACUGUAGCGGUACGCUUCUGACUAAGAUGUGGUGAAAAUACAAAAUGGAAAACACAACGCCUACUGUAUUCCUAUGAUUUAACUUUUUUAGACUAAUAUUCAGCCAUUUUUGAGGCUCAGCCAAACUUGGAUAAUUUAGCUGAUUCCCAACUGUACUCCACUUUGGGUCAUAACUACAGUAGUUGCCCAUAUCUGUUGCUAUAUUAAAUACUGGGAGAUAAUAUUUCAACUUUAAUAGACAACUUUUAAUAUCUUUACGACAGCAUUUUUCUUUUAUCGGAAGAUGCUAACCAACUGGGAAAGUUCUACUCCGACAACAGGGGGCCUGUUAGAUGAAACAUCUGUUAAAAACAUGAGUAAAAUGCCUUCAGAUGAACCUGGUUCCGUUUUACUUUUCUUGAUCCACUUAAAAGUACCCAGAGCAGAAAUGUUUAUGUUUUUAGAAAACAAAUGCGUACUGCGUCUUUAAGAAACCUGGCAACCCCUUCUGUGCCAGAUUGCAACAUACACAUACUGUAUAUCUGUGGUUGGCCUGGAGCAAAUUAUCGAGUUGGUUUUUUUUUUCUUUUGUUUGUUUCUUUUUGGCUCUCGGAGGGAAAACUUUGAGCAGCUAUGUAGAGCAAAUACCGUGUAAUUACGCCUUCAUUAAUCAUUCGUUUCAUAUUUCUGCUUCGUAUUAUACUUUGUUCCAAACACAGAACGUCAAAUGUCGAUGUUUAAAACCCACGUAGUACAACGUCUUCGUCUCGUAUGUGUACAUGUUGUGCCCUACUUUCCCCAUGGGUGUGACCAUAAAAACUUAUUAAUUGGAGCCGUACCACAGGGACUCGGACUCGGACUAGCUUAGCAGACGUUUAGCGUCAGCGGCUCCACAUCCCUCAGGGACUCUCUUCUCCCCGUGUGUGUGUGUGUGUGUUUGUGUACGCGCCUGUGUGCGUGUGUUUGUCUUACAGCUCCUUAUCAGGUUGGUUGCGUUACUACACCCUGGGCUUCCUGCUGCAUCCAUCUGCCUCAAACUAACAAGCGGCGGACUGUCACUGCGCACCCGAAGGUUGAAACGGACUGUGAAUCUCGUGGACUUUCUCAGG